UCUGCUACAUCCUUCUGUGCUUUGGCUGGAUUGUAUGGCUUCAGGAAGGAGGAAUACACAUAUCCUGUGAGGACUAGAACCCAGAAUAAAGAGACAGAAAAUAAAUAAACAGCAAAAUGCUGCUAAAAUAAGUUCAAAACCAACCGCUUUAUGCAGCUGUCAGUGUGACAGAGGCAAACAGAUGGGGCCAGAAUGAAAAGAAAUCAAUAUCCCAAAGGGAAGCUGUUAUUGGGAUAUUUGUGCAGAGAACUUACUUCCUGUGUCAACAAGCCAUCUGCUUGUGCUUCCAAAGGGGUCCUUUUGCUCCACAACAGCCACCAGUUCUCCUUCAUGCAAGUCAAUAUCCAAUUCCUGCGCGGCGUUGCACUUGCGCUUAGCCUGGUACAGCGACUCGGUGCUGUACGUGGACAGCAGCUUGGACCUGUGCUCCUCUGUUUGCCGUGGGGACUCCAGCUGGAAACAAACAGAUGAUAUUCAUCCUCAGUAAUGCUGGGGCUAUUUCCAGGUGAAAAUGAUGCAUGUGGCAACUGACCCAGUGUUUUUACACACAGACCAAGGAGUUACUUACACCGGAACUAAAUCUCCUCUGCAUAUGCAGGAAGAACCUGUCCCACUGCUAUAUUAACAGCUGCCCCUUACUAUUAUGCGCUCUGUUCCAGUCUUGAUGGAAAGGAAUAUUCCAGAAUUGCCUCACUAGAGUGUGUUUCCCAAGCAGCCUUGCUUCUGUUCAGCCCAAAGGAGCCUGGCUAAUGAAAGAAACAUCCAGAGCGCAGCUCGAAAAAUCCCUGAACUCCUCCCUUUGAAAACAUAUCAACCCCUAAUUCUCCCAAGCUCCAGCUAUAAUUCAAGAAAAGUCAAAACCACUGGGACACGUGGCAGAGAAUUUCAUUUUUAAUCUUUGUGGGAGCAGGGAGUUUUACUACAAGGCCGACAAAAUGCUUCAUUUUCCUGUGUGCUGUUGCCCCACCUGAGGAGA